UCCCUCCAGACUCCUUACCCCUCAGAUCUAAAUAUUGGUCUGAGAAGCUGAAAAAGGAGAAAAGGUGAAACUGAAGUGGAUUUAGAGUCUUCAAUGAUAUACCAGUUCAUUUCAAACCUAU
rnacentral:snoRNA from 1 species